rnacentral:rRNA from 1 species
GACGAACGCUGGCGGCGUGCUUAACACAUGCAAGUCGAACGAUGAAGAAGAGAAACGCGAACUUCGUUUCAAAUUUCACUUCGGAUUAGUGGCAGACGGGUGAGUAACGCGUGAGCAACCUACCUCUUACAAAGGGAUAGCCUCGGGAAACCGUGAUUAAUACAAUAUGACACAUUCAUAAAGCAUCUUAAGAAUGUUAAAGCUACGGCGGUAAGCGAUGGGCUCGCGUCACCUUCGCUAGUUGGUUAGGUAACGGCCCACCAAGGCGAGGAUGGGUAACGGGGCUGAGAGGGGGAAAGAUUACAUCGGAAAUGAGACACGGUCCAAACUGCGAGGGGAGGCAGGAGUGGGGAAUAUUGCACAAUGGAGGGAAAUCUGAUGAAGCCACGCAGCGUGAGCGAUGCAGGAAUUCGUAACGUACAGCUAUGUUCUAUGGGGAGAAAAGGACUGUACCAUAGGAGAAAGCCCCGGCUAAAUACGUG